rnacentral:rRNA from 1 species
GUGGAAGCACAGUAAUGUGUGUAGCUAACUGAUACUAAUAGCUCGAUUGAUUUACUUUG